UACAGAGGUCUCGAGCGUUAGGCGGAAUCACUGGGCUUAAAGCGUGUGUAGGCGGAUCGUUAAGUGCCUUGUGAAAUCCCACGCCUCAACCGUGGAACUGCUUGGCAUACUGGCGGUCUUGAGCAACCUAGGGGCGAGCGGAACAAAUGGUGGAGCGGUGAAAUGCGUAGAUAUCAUUUGGAACGCCAAUGGUGAAAACAGCUCGCUGGGGGUUUGCUGACGCUGAGACACGAAAGCCAGGGGAGCAAACGGG
rnacentral:rRNA from 1 species